rnacentral:rRNA from 1 species
UACGUAGGGUGCAAGCGUUAAUCGGAAUUACUGGGCGUAAAGCGUGCGCAGGCGGUCUGCAUAAGACGAUGUGAAAUCCCCGGGCUUAACCUGGGAACUGCAUUUGUGACUGCAUGGCUGGAGUGCGGCAGAGGGGGAUGGAAUUCCGCGUGUAGCAGUGAAAUGCGUAGAUAUGCGGAGGAACACCGAUGGCGAAGGCAAUCCCCUGGGCCUGCACUGACGCUCAUGCACGAAAGCGUGGGGAGCAAACAGG